rnacentral:rRNA from 1 species
UACGUAGGGUGCAAGCGUUAAUCGGAAUUACUGGGCGUAAAGCGUGCGCAGGCGGUGAUGCAAGUCAGAUGUGAAAUCCCCGGGCUUAACCUGGGAACUGCAUUUGUGACUGCAUUGCUGGAGUGCGGCAGAGGGGGAUGGAAUUCCGCGUGUAGCAGUGAAAUGCGUAGAUAUGCGGAGGAACACCGAUGGCGAAGGCAAUCCCCUGGGCCUGCACUGACGCUCAUGCACGAAAGCGUGGGGAGCAAACAGG